rnacentral:ribozyme from 1 species
AUGCACACCGUUUCUGUAAAAGGGUUGGAUCCGACGCCCCUAGAGGGCUACUAUAGGCUCUCCUUCUCAACUCCUACUCAAUACGUCCACGUCGUGCAGAACGGUAACUUGUCGCCUAGAUAUCCAAGCUUGGGUACACGGGGAAACCCACCCUCUUGGGCGGAUGGGCAGCAAGGCUUAAUUGAGAGAU